rnacentral:rRNA from 1 species
GAUGAACGCUAGCGGCAGGCCUAAUACAUGCAAGUCGAACGAUACUUUCCAGCUUGCUGGAAAGGAAAGUGGCGCACGGGUGCGUAACGCGUAUGCAACCUACCUUAAUCAGGGGGAUAGCCCGAAGAAAUUCGGAUUAACACCGCAUAAAAUCACAGUACAGCAUUGUACAAUGAUCAAAUAUUUAUAGGGUUAAGAUGGGCAUGCGUGACAUUAGCUAGUUGGCGGGGUAACGGCCCACCAAGGCGACGAUGUCUAGGGGAUCUGAGAGGAUGACCCCCCACACUGGUACUGAGACACGGACCAGACUCCUACGGGAGGCAGCAGUAAGGAAUAUUGGUCAAUGGAGGCAACUCUGAACCAGCCAUGCCGCGUGCAGGAAGACAGCCCUCUGGGUCGUAAACUGCUUUUAUUCGGGAAUAAACCUACUUACGUGUAAGUAGCUGAAUGUACCGAAGGAAUAAGGAUCGGCUAACUCCGUGCCAGCAGCCGCCGUAA